rnacentral:rRNA from 1 species
UACCCAGUUCGGAUUGUAGGCUGCAACUCGCCUACAUGAAGUCGGAGUUGCUAGUAAUCGCGGAUCAGAAUGCCGCGGUGAAUGCGUUCCCGGGUCUUGUACACACCGCCCGUCACACCAUGGAAGUUGGGGGCGCCCGAAGUUGCCUAAGAAAUAAGGUACCCAAGGCGAAACCAAUGACUGGGGUGAAGUCGUAACAAGGUAUC